rnacentral:rRNA from 1 species
AAACAUGAGAGUUUGAUCCUGGCUCAGAACGAACGCUGGCGGCGUGGAUUAGGCAUGCAAGUCGAACGAGAUCCCCAUUUUAAAAUACUUUCGGGUAUUUUAUCGGGGUGAGAGUGGCGCAAGGGUGAGUAACGCGUGAGUAAUUUGCCCUCAAGCUCAGGAUAACUCGCCGAAAGGCGGGCUAAUACUGAAUAAGACCACGAACGGACAUCCGUAUGUGGUAAAAGAUGGCUUAGUUCUUUGAACGCUAUCACUUGUGGAUGAGCUCGCGUCCUAUCAGCUUGUUGGUAAGGUAAAAGCUUACCAAGGCAUUUGACGGGUAGCUGGUCUGAGAGGAUGGUCAGCCACACUGGGACUGAGACACUGCCCAGACUCCUACGGGAGGCUGCAGUCGAGAAUCUUUGGCAAUGGACGAAAGUCUGACCAUGCGACGCCGCGUG